AACGGCGAGUGAAGCGGCAAGAGCUCAAAUUUGAAAUCUGGCCUCCUCCGGGGGUCCGAGUUGUAAUUUGCAGAGGAUGCUUCGGGUGCGGCCCCCGUCUAAGUUCCUUGGAAUAGGACGUCAGAGAGGGUGAGAAUCCCGUCUUGGGCGGGCGGCCCGCGCCCGUGUGAAGCUCCUUCGACGAGUCGAGUUGUUUGGGAAUGCAGCUCUAAGCGGGUGGUAAAUUUCAUCUAAAGCUAAAUAUUUGCCGGAGACCGAUAGCGCACAAGUAGAGUGAUCGAAAGGUUAAAAGCACCUUGAAAAGGGAGUUAAACAGCACGUGAAAUUGUUGAAAGGGAAGCGCUUGCGGCCAGACUCGGGGGCGGGGUUCAGCGGGCGCUCGUCGCCCGUGCACUCCCCGCGCCCCGGGCCAGCAUCAGUUUCGACGGUCGGUCAAAGGCCCCCGGAAUGUGUCGUCUCUAGGGACGUCUUAUAGCCGGGGGUGCAAUGCGGCCCGUCGGGACUGAGGAACGCGCUUCGGCUCGGAUGCUGGCGUAAUGGCCGUAAGCGGCCCGUCUUGAAACACGGACCAAGGAGUCUAACAUCCACGCGAGUGUUCGGGUGUCAAACCCGUGCGCGCAGUGAAAGCGAACGGAGGUGGGAGCCUUUGGGCGCACCAUCGACCGAUCCUGAAGUCUUCGGAUGGAUUUGAGUAGGAGCGUGGCCGUUGGGACCCGAAAGAUGGUGAACUAUGCCUGAAUAGGG
rnacentral:rRNA from 1 species